GACGAACGCUGGCGGCGUGCUUAACACAUGCAAGUCGAACGGAAAGGCCCUGCUUUUGUGGGGUGCUCGAGUGGCGAACGGGUGAGUAACACGUGAGUAACCUGCCCUUGACUUUGGGAUAACUUCAGGAAACUGGGGCUAAUACCGGAUAGGAGCUCCUGCUGCUUGGUGGGGGUUGGAAAGUUUCGGCGGUUGGGGAUGGACUCGCGGCUUAUCAGCUUGUUGGUGGGGUAGUGGCUUACCAAGGCUUUGACGGGUAGCCGGCCUGAGAGGGUGACCGGCCACAUUGGGACUGAGAUACGGCCCAGACUCCUACGGGAGGCAGCAGUGGGGAAUAUUGCACAAUGGGCGGAAGCCUGAUGCAGUAACGCCGCGUGCGGGAUGACGGCCUUCGGGUUGUAAACCGCUUUCGCCUGUGACGAAGCGUGAGUGACGGUAAUGGGUAAAGAAGCACCGGCUAACUACGUG
rnacentral:rRNA from 1 species